UUGAUGGCCGAAUAAAAAGGCAAUAAACUUUUAAUUUAUUUAUGAGGAGACUCUCUUGCGUUGAUUAUUUUCGACAAAUCAUA
rnacentral:tRNA from 1 species